GUGUAUUCCAGACAUUAAAGCUAUCACAGUUAUUAACCGCUGCAGGCGAGAAAGACAACGAUACUUUUACAAGAAAGGAUAUCGAAGAAGCAAUACAAAAAUGGCUGAAAAGGGCGAAAGAAAGUUCCUACUAGACAUGCAAUCCCUCUGACUAUCACUUGUUUCCAUCAAUGGCAUACGGCCUGGCUGACCAGCA